CCUACGGGUGGCAGCAGUGGGGAAUAUUGCACAAUGGGGGAAACCCUGAUGCAGCAACGCCGCGUGAAGGAAGACGGUUUUCGGAUUGUAAACCUCUGUUCUUAGUGAAGAAUAAUGACGGUAGCUAAGGAGCAAGCCACGGCCAACUACGUGCCAGCAGCCGCGGUAAUACGUAGGUGGCAAGCGUUGUCCGGAAUUACUGGGUGUAAAGGGAGCGCAGGCGGGAAGCCAAGUCAGCUGAGAAAACUACGGGCUUAACUUGUAGACUGCAGUUGAAACUGGUUUUCUUGAGUGAAGUAGAGGUUGGCGGAAUGCGGGGUGUAGCGGUGAAAUGCGUAGAUAUUCGGCAGAACACCGGUGGCGAAGGCAGCAAACUGGGCUUUAACUGACGCUGAGGCUCGAAAGUGUGGGGAGCGAACAGGAUUAGAUACCCUAGUAGUC
rnacentral:rRNA from 1 species